ensembl:lncRNA
AGGUUCUGAUCCACAUCCCCACUGCUUCAUACUCGGCUGCAAACCGCUCCAGUGCUGCUGAAGGUCUGAGGAACCAACAGAACCACAUCAUCUGCAAAAAGCAGAGAUCCUGAGGUCCCCAAACCGGACACCCUCCUCACCCCAGCUGUAGCUUGAGAUCCAUGAAGACCACAAACAGGAUCAGAGACAAGGGGCAGCCCUGGAGGAGUCCAACACCCACUGGAAACGAGUCUGACUUUGUGCUUAGUAUGUGGACGCAGCUCUCACAUUGGUUCUACAGGGACCCAAUGGCUCAUAUCAGACAGCCUGGUACCCCAUACUCCCUCAGUACCCCAUACUCCCUCAGUACCCCAUACUCUCUCAGUACCCCAUACUCCCUCAGUACCCCCCACAGAGACCCUCGGGGGACACGGUUGUAGGCCUUCUCCAGAUCCACAAAACACAUGUAGACUGGCUGGUGGAACUCCCAUGACCCCCUCAGCAGCUGAUCCACUGUUCCACAACCAGGACGGAAUCCACAUUGUUCCUCCUGAAUCUGAGGUUCUACAGUCAGUCAGAGCCUCCCUUCCAGCACCCUAGGGUAAACUUUCCCGGGGAGGCUGAGAAGUGUGAUACCCAGUAGUUGGAACACACUCUCUGGUCCCCCUUUUUAAAAAUGGGAACCACCACCCCGGUCUGCCACUCCACAGCGCCGUACCUGAUGCCCACGAGACAUUAAAGAGACAUAUCAGCCAAGACAGUCCAACAAUGUCCAGAGCCUUCAGCAUCUCAGGGAGGAUCUCGUCCACACCUGGCGCCACCGAGGAGCUUCUUCACUACCUCGGCGACCUCUGCCACGGAUUUGGACGAAGAUUCCCCCGAGUCUUCAGGUUCUGCCUCCUCCACAGAAGACGUGUAUACCGGGUUCAGGAGUUCCUCAAAGUGCUCUUUCCACUUUGAGGAACUCCUGAAACCGGUAUACACGUCUUCAGGUUCUGCCUCCUCCACAGAAGACGUGUAUACCAGGUUCAGGAGUUCCUCAAAGUGCUCUUUCCACCGCCCGACAAUGUCCCCAGUACAGGUCAACAGUUCUCCACCCUGACUGUACACAGCCUGAGCAAAGCCCUGCCUCCCCUUCCUGAGGUGCUGGAUGAUUUGCCAGAACCUCCUCGAGGCCAACCGAAAGUCCUUCUCCAUAGCCUCUCCGAACUCCUCCCACACCUGAGUUUUAGUUUCCAUAGCUGCAGCCCUUUUGGCCAACCGGAACCCGUCAGCUGCUUCAGGAGACCCCCGAGCCAGCCAGGCCCAAAAAGCCUCCUUCUUCAGCCUGACGGCUUCCCUCACCACUGGUGUCCACCAGCGGGUUCUUGGGUUGCCACCAUGACAGGCACCAGUGACCUUCAGGCCACAGCUCCUAACAGCUGCUUCUGCAAUGGAGGCUUUGAACAUGGACCACUCAGAUUCCAUGUCCCCAACCUCCCCGGGAUGCAGGAGAAACUCUUCUGGAGGUGGGAGCUGAAAACCCCACGGACAGGGUCCUCUGUCAGGCAUUCCCAGUUCACCCUCACUACAUGUUUGGGUUUACCAGGUCUGUCCGGCAGCCUUCCCCACCAUCAGAUCCAACUCACCACCAGGUGACGAUCAGCUGACAGCUUUGCUCCUCUCUUCACCUGAGUAUCCGAGAUAUACGGCUGCAGGUCUGAUGAUACAACUAUGACGUCCAUCAUGGACCUUUGGCCUAAGGUGCUCUGGUACCAGGUACACUUAUGAGCAACCUUAUGCUCCAACAUGGUGUUUGUUAUGACCAGUCUAUGACUAGAACAGAAGUCCAAUAACAGAACACCACUCGGGUUCAGAUAGGGCCAUUCCUCCCAAUCAUGUCUUCCAGGUUUCUCCAUAGUUGCCCACAUGAACAUUGAAGUCCCCGAGGAGAGCUACGGAAUCCCCAGGCGGUCCCCCUUCCAGGAACCACCCAGAGACUCCAAGAAGACUGAAUACUCUGAGCUGCUGUUCGGUUCAUGAGAACAGACAACAGAGUUUCCUCUCAGAGAGGCGACCCUCUGGUUCUCCAGGGAGAACUCCGACAAAGCGGCACUCACGCUAACCCUAACUCAAAAAACAGCAUAUAUUUGGAAAGUUCUAUUUUGCUUAAUCUUACAGUCAGAUGUUAGAAAUUAAGAAACAUUCCAUUGAUUAAAAACACAGAUUUUUAAUGCUCAGUUAUAAAAGAGAACAUCCUGAUCACAGUUCUAUUAACAGACCAUAAAACACGAAAACAUGAGACCCAUCUGGAUCAUAUCAUCAGAAUGAAUCACUGCAGUGAAUCUGUUCUGAAACUCAUCAGAUCCUGAAGGGUUGGACUGAAGCUCAGUUUUACCUCAAUGAUUGUCAGAAUUUCACAGCUGCAGGAAUCAGACUGAUUCAGUCAUUCUGAUCUGAUUAAACUCUUCUGUCUGAAGUUUUAUUUCUGGAGAUUCUGAACAAAGAAUUUGGAGAAUUUUUUGUCAUUUUUGUUGAUUAUUCAGCAGCUCUGUUCAGUCUGAACCUUCCUCCAGCAGAUCUGUUCCAUAUUAGAAGCUGUGAUGAAGCUGUGGAGCUUCACCAUUCUGACUUAUUCCUGCAGUUUGUAGUGAAACUUUAACUUCUUAGUGCCAUAAAACAUCCUGAACACGACACAGAGUGGUCAGUGUUCCUCCUGAUUUAGAGACCAGCGGGUUGAAGGACUGGAGAAGCUUCAGUCUGCUGUUGAUGACUUUUAGUUGGAACCAGGAGAAGCUGCUGAGUUCUGCUGCACUGAUCUUCAUGUUGAACUGAUAUUUUAUCAUUGAUGAGCCAGAAGAAAGACACCAGUGAAUGUGUGGUUUUUAAUAUUUAUUCUAUAUUUAUGGAGAAUGUUCCGUUGAAACGUGUUUCAUUUUCAUGUCUUGCUUUUGAAGCUUUCUUCUCACUGAAUGUUCAUAGAUGAACAGUUUUUAUUCAUUGCUGCUCUGUUUGUUUUCCAUCAACCAGUUCAUGAGGUUCAACUGAACUAGUGUUGGUGGAUUAUUCCACAUGAAGUCCAAUAAAUCUGAACCAACCAGAACCUCCUCAGAACCUACUGGUUAUUUAUCAGUGGUCAGAGUUCUACCUUCAUACUGGGAAUAUUUCCAGAGUCCAGGUCCUUCAAGUCCAUAGAGGAGAACGUCCCCUGUAGAAAGUUCUAGAGAAGACUUACCGACAACUGGACAGUUGUCGGCAGGUCUACUCUAGAACUUUGUCCAGUUGUUGGUAGGUCUAUUCUAGAACUUUCUCCAGGUGUCGGUAGGUCUACUCUAGAACUUUCUCCAGGGGACGUUCUCCUUUCCUGCUUCCAGUCUUUAAGUUUAGUCUCACAUUCAGAAUUGGAGACUUCCAGGUCCUUGAAGUUCAUAGAGGUGGGUCCACAUCUGAGUUCUGGUAAAAAAUGACUCCAGAUCAGUUUUACAUCCAUCCAGGUGUCUCAGUCUGAAUGCUGAAUCUGGUUUCUGAUCAGAACCUUUUUAUUCUAUCAUUUUAUUCAACCGUUUAAUCAGAAAUUGGAUCAUUUUCAAGCAAUUUAGGUCAAUUUUCAAUUAAUUUUCAACUAAUUUCCUGUAUUUUGGUUAUUUUUGAGUCAUUUUCGGUGAAUUCUGACUCAUUUUGGACAAUUGGCUGGUCAUUUUCAACAAGUUUUAUGUCAGAUUGGAUCUUUUCUCGUUAUUUUGGAUCAUUUUUGUGUCUGGGAUCAUUUUAGAGUCAUUUAGAACAAAUUUCAUGUCAUUCUAAACUCCUUUUCUGUGAUUAUGGACGAUUCUUUGGGUCAUUUUGAACAUUUUCUGAACCUUUUUAAAUAAUUUUCUUACUUAAUUUCCAUAACUUUAUUAAUGAUCAGAGUUCUAACUUCGUCCUGUGAAUAUUUCCAGAGUUCUAGGUCCUUGAAGUCCAUAGAGGUGGGUCCAGUUUUACCACUUUUUAAUGGCAGUCUUUACCAGAACUCAGAUGUGUUUUCCUCCUAAAUGUCAUGGUCUUAUCUGCUGGACUGAUCAGAAAUGAUGGAAAAAGUCUCUGAUAAUCUGCUGGAACGUGAGCAGCUCAUGGAGGAGGUUCUCUCAGGUUCGGUUGGUUUCACUGGGCUGAUUGUGGUGAAAGUUCAAUCUGUUGCUUUUAGGCUUUGUUGAACUGAGAUCAGUCCUUUAUGCAGUUUUAUCCUCCAUGCACAGGCUCGGAUGUUUUUUUUGCUGCUUUUUAAACCCUGUUGGAGUUUCAGUGAAUCAGAACUGUUUGAAUGUCGACACUGUUGUUUCUUUGUCUGAUCAGCAGCUUCUUGAACAGCUUUAAGUGGUGAGAAACUCACCGACUGAUUAAAAGAG